rnacentral:rRNA from 1 species
GUGGGGAAUAUUGGACAAUGGGGGGAACCCUGAUCCAGCCAUGCCGCGUGUGUGAAGAAGGCCUUUUGGUUGUAAAGCACUUUAAGUGGGGAGGAGGCUUACCUGGUUAAUACCUGGGCUAAGUGGACGUUACCCACAGAAUAAGCACCGGCUAACUCUGUGCCAGCAGCCGCGGUAAUACAGAGGGUGCGAGCGUUAAUCGGAUUUACUGGGCGUAAAGCGCGCGUAGGUGGUUAAUUAAGUCAAAUGUGAAAUCCCCGAGCUUAACUUGGGAAUUGCAUUCGAUACUGGUUAGCUAGAGUAUGGGAGAGGAUGGUAGAAUUCCCGGUGUAGCGGUGAAAUGCGUAGAGAUCUGGAGGAAUACCGAUGGCGAAGGCAGCCAUCUGGCCUAAUACUGACACUGAGGUGCGAAAGCAUGGGGAGCAAACAGGAUUAGAUACCCCAGUAGUCC